ensembl:misc_RNA Metazoa_SRP Metazoan signal recognition particle RNA
GCCGGGCACGUUGGUACCUGUCUACAGCCCCAGGUACUCAGGAAGCUCUGAUGCAGAAGGAUCACUUGAGCCCAGGAGUUCUGGGCUGUAGUGUGCUAGGCUGACAGGAUGUUCACGUUAAGUUCAGCAUCAAUAUGGUGAUCUCCAGGGAGCAGGGGACCACCUGGUUUCCUAAAGAGGUGUGACCUGGCCAAGGAUGGCAACAGAGCAGAUCUAAACUCCCAUGUGCUGAUCGGUAGUGGAAUCAUGCCUGUGAGAGGCCAGGCGCCAUGGCUCACACCUGUAAUCCCAGCGCUUU